rnacentral:misc_RNA from 1 species
GUCUAAAACGACCAAGCUAAUACUUGCUUGAUUCACUAAGGG